GCCAUUUUGGGGGCGGGGGGAAAGUAGCCUGUCUGUCAGUCCGUGUGCUGCAGGGGCAAUGCCCCCCUGGCAGUGCUGACUGUGUAUUGGCUGCUCGGCCCCAGUGCAAAGAUAAUGUGUGGGGUAGGAAGGGGUGUUGACACUGCAGCCACUGUUUUCCCCUGUCUCCAGCGCAGUGUUCAAUAAGCUAAUGGCUGUGUCCUGCUCUGCUCAACUUUGUUCUAACAGUGAUUAUAGUUUGAAGAAUGUUUUCUUUGUAAACCACGUGGUCAGGAUAAUUGCUUAAAGAACUGUCUUCUCCCAUAACAUAAGAACAAAAAUAUUGUAUCAUUUUGCUGAGAACAUUCUUUCCCCACUUAGGAUGGUGGUUUACUCAUGUUGAACUUCAUUUAAUGCAUAUUGCAUCCCAAAUUCCUUGUACAUCUCAAUCACGAUACAUCCCAGUGUCUUUGACACUAGGAAUUUCUAAAAUAGAGCACAUGAGAACCUGGAAAUAAUUUAUAUAUGCCAGGGAAAAAAGAAAGAAGAUGUGGAAAUAGAGGGCAGGUGAUGGCAGAAACGGUUCACCAGGGAAGGAUCAUUAGGGAAAAUGAGAUUUUGUGCCACAUAGCAUGGUGCUGUGUGGUUUUACUCUCUCUUUCAUAUUUGUCCAUUGUGAGGGUGUUAUUUUUCACUGUGGCAUAGAAGAUGCCUCCAUCUCCAUUGGUAGAAGCAGAGGAGAAUUAAUGAGAAAGUGUACAGGAGAAAAGUAAAAAGAAGCCAAGUGAUCCUAACAGCAUCAGUUAUGCACCCUGACAAAAUGAAAGUAGCGAAUAGAGAAAUAAUUUUCUAGUUGAGCAUCAACACAUGAAAUGUGUGUGCUCCAGAAAGCUUAAUUCUGUGUUAGUUGUGGAAUUCUCUGUUACUUGUGGAGCCCGUUAAAAAUCCUCAGUUUCACAUUUCUUCAGGGUCACAUUUGGGCCUCUGCAAUUCCAGCCAGCUCCUCAGGGUGUACGGAUGAAAGAACAUCGUGAAAAAUGGUGACAAAGAUAAACAAGAGGGUAACAAGGAUGAAGGAAUGGCAUCUGUCCAAGAAGAGAUUAAAGCAACCAGAGUAUUUCUGCUUGGAAAAUAUGUAGGAAAGAGGCAGUCUAGCAACCUGACCAUAAAUAAUAUGAGGCUGGUAAACAAGGAACAAUUAGUUGUUGCACAAUAACUGUGAGAUUACAAAAAAUAUUAUCAGGCCCCCACUGGUAUCAGGCUCCACAGCAGAGGAAGCAGUGUUCCACACAGUGUGUAAUCUGACCAUGUAAAUUAUCUCAGAAUCUGAGAAUAUUCAAGGUUCCCAGAAGCAGUUCAAACUCAGUGUUAGUUCUUGCUGUUGGAUCCCAGCACAGUUGGUGCUGGCAGUGCCUAUGGCACAUCUGUAGUGUGUAAGGAGCUUCGCUUUCUGCCUGUCAAGGAGCUUAAACCUUGGAGAAGUAUUCUCAGUUUUGGACAGUAGUUAAAGCUCUUGGACCAUAGUGCAAGUCCAUGCUGAGUUUUUGCCAGAUGUACUCGUGGAAAUAAUUAAUGUUUCAUUUGAAAUACGUUUAUGAAGUGGACUUAAAUUCACUUCAAUAUACUUACUCCCAAGUAAUCCAUCCUCAGCUCUAAUAUAAAUGUGUAAUUCAGUCUACUUUAUGCCUUGCCCACAGUGUACAUGAAGUUUUAACUGACAAUUAUCUGAAUGUGAAUUUUUAUAGCAGAAUGAAAGCAAUGACCUGAUGUUUUGUGAAAAAAAAAAAAAAUAACAGCUUGCAAAUCUUGCUUUCUGGCUGGAUUUGAACUCUGCUUUUUUUUUACAUGGGGGGAAAAAAAAAAGCCCUAAACAUUUAGUUAUUCUGUAACCAGGCAUUUCAGGUCAAAGACCACAGAAGGGUUCAAAAAAGAUAAGCAAAAUUAAUACAUCAAGGUCAGAUGAGCUCUUCUUAAGAGGAGUGAAGACAAAUCCAAUGAGGAAGCAGAACACAAAUCAAUGUCCUAUCUACACUUUGCUUCCUUGCCAAAGACACUGAAAGAGUCUCCACAGAAGUAAAUAGAUAUCUCCCAUUAGAGUGCCAGUGUUGUCAAUGGGAAGCAUGAAAUAAAACACCUCACUGCUGAAGAGAUUGCUUCUGAGUGCCUCCCCGGAGGAUUACUAGGAACAAGAGCCUGCUGUAACCAUAGGGGAACUGGUUUUAUUUCCAUGUUCAGUGUGCUAAGUCCUAAAGGCACCUUGUCUAUGAGCCUACAUUCUGCCUCUUUUUGUGGCGGACAAGGGUUUGAAACAGGAGCUGCUUUCCUGCUACACUGAUACGUUUCACUGUCCCAUGCCACCCCACUCUGGCUGUUAGGUUUGGAGAAGCAGUACAGCAGGGCAUCAGGGGUCUCUCUGUGCAAGAUGAGCUAUUGGGCACCUCUUACCUUGCACAUUUUUGAAUGUGUGCGAGGGAGUUUGGUUGUGUCAUUUGUGGGACCACUUGCUGGCUUGUCACUGUGGGCCUGGCAUUAAUUAAAGGCUCACAGGGAUGCUACGGAAACACCUCUCCUAGCGUGAAGGCGUUUUUUAAACAGUCCACCCUGAAAAUGAGGAGGAACAAGAGGAUGAUUUUACAGCAUGGUGUGACAUCCUGCCCUGACCUGUCUCCCUCUGCGGAAGGGAGAUCUCGUUUCCCAUGAGAACAUGGUUCUGAGUGAGAGCUCUGACCCGAGCCCUGCCAGGACUGACACUGAACAGCAGAACCAUCUCCCUCUGGGAGAUGCAUGUCUGCAGGAUGAAGUUUCACAGGGGCAGCCAGAGGAAACUCUCAGUUCAGAUGUUGAGUGGGAUUCAAAAGAUUAAUCACUCUGGAACAGGGCUGCAGUGCCAAAGAUGCUUUGUUCCAGGCUGGAAAACAACCAGGACAGGACGAGCAUAUGGAGACUGUGCCCAUCUCCCAUUAAGCUUUAACUAAGCAGUGCCAGCUGUGUGCGCAAAGCUUGGUGUGCCAUAUGCAGCUCCAUCCACAGGUCACGCGGUGCAGUAAGGCUGUGUUGAAAAGGAAUCAUCCUUCCCAGAUGUGGCCGGCACUGUGAAAUGCUACACAUCAGCCUUGUCAGGCUGCAAAGCCUCUUAGCAGCCUGUUGACUUUACUAACUCACUUACCAGUGCCUGUAAACAAGGGUGGCACAAUCUCUUGCCUGUAAAACCAGUUGGUAUAUCUAAGAUGCUCUGAGAGCCUCAGAAUGACCAUUUGCUUAAAAAAAAAAAAAAAAAAAAAAAAAGGAAGCCUAAUAUCUGAUUUAUCAGGACACAUUCCUCUGAUGCAACUAGGGCUGAGCCAGCAGAACGAACAGUAUCACUUUUUUAACCCCAGGGUAACCGAUUGCAGCGUCAUUUACUCAGCGUGCUCUUUUAAUACUGAUUAUGCCAAUAGCCUGAGCAAAUAAACUGAAAGUUCCCGACAGCUCAUCUUUGGGGAAAGGUGACUCAGAAGCAGAAUGAAUCACAGCGCGUAGCACUCCGAGAGGACAGGACCUGGGCGCUUGUAGGAAGGAGCUGACGGGCACUCGGGGAGACAUCUUCACACUGUGGGGCUUGAAGACAUGGCAUAUGCACACUGAAGAAACACUGGCAAAGUCGUGAUCCAUCCCAGCUGCGCACAGAAAAUAUGAAGUUACUCUGGAUAAUCUCAUUUUUCCUGCUGCAAGACACUGAAGCUUUCCUGCUGCAGAAUGCUAAAAUCAAGCAGUGUUUACAAGCAAGCCCAACAGAUGGGAAUUUAUUGCUGUCGGACUGUAAUUCAGCAUCAGAUUUCCAGGACUGGUUUUGCAAGGAGAUUCUUUGAGGAAUCAUGGCACGCAGAGCUGCCUCUUAGUGGUGGAAGCCAACAGAGUGCAGACAAGUCCCUGUGACAGUGUGGGCUUCAUGGGCUGGGACUGCUCAAAUUUGCUGCUCUCCUCCUCUGGGCAGCAGCCAGGGCUACCUGGUGGCGAGCAAGAAAGGAGUCGCACUCGAUAAUGUGAGAGGUCUCAAGGCUCAAUGGCAAAGUGCUGCAGAGAGGAGUGUGUGUGAGGAGAAAGCAGCACAAUACAGAUACUUACCCGCAGCCCUUGCUAGCACACACGUGUAUGACCACACGGCAUACAAUGAUGUCCUUGUGCUGGGUAUGGAGCCAGAAAAGCUGGAGGAGCUGCUGUGGUUCUUCCGCAGAGAAGACCCAUCAGCAUGGAAUUACUCCAUCCUUGUGCUUUCCUUCGUGGUCGCAAUUUUGGGUUUUGUUCUUCUGGCCAUUAACAUUUCACGAAACAGGAAAAGGAAGAUCCACAAGUAUAAAGAAGCAGCGCAAGCUGCCCAGAAUUCUGGGCUGGAAAGCAAGCAAGCCCUGCUCACAGUGUCAGAAUACAGCCCAGAAAGCCUGCAGAAGCCAGAGCCACUGCCACAGGAUGAGAGGUCAGGAGAGGUGCUGGUUCAGUGGAAGGAUGGGACCGUCACCACUCUGUACAAAGAGACGGCAGACGAUGCCAUGUAACAGCUGAUGUCACACCACCUUAGGGCAAUUAGGCCCUAAGGAGCCUAUCAGAAUGCCUCAAUUCACAGCGACUGAAGAUUGAAAAGUUGAAAAAAUGCAUUUUAGCCUGGGGGGAAAACAAAAAGGGAAAAAAAAAGGAAAAAAAAAGAAAACAGCAGAGCUGUGUCAGCAGAAGUGGCUCUGGUCUCAGAGGCAAACCCUGCCUCCCUGCUGCAGCCCCAUUUGGCUGAUCUUUACCCCCUUGUUCAGCUGCCGCCUGCUGGGGUGGGAGGAGAGGUGGGGGCUCACAGCCAGGGAGCGCGCCCCUCACCUCUAGACAUGGAAACACUGACACCGAAGCAGGGGAGCACUUGUUCUUUUCAAAUGUUACCUUUAUUAAAAUAUUUUCCAAAGUGCUUGAUCAAAA